UGGAUCCAGACUUUGAUUAUGGCUCAGGAUGAACGCUAGCUACAGGCUUAACACAUGCAAGUCGAGGGGCAGCAUCAUCAAAGCUUGCUUUGAUGGAUGGCGACCGGCGCACGGGUGAGUAACACGUAUCCAACCUGCCGACAACACUGGGAUAGCCUUUCGAAAGAAAGAUUAAUACCGGAUGGCAUAAUUAUUCCGCAUGGGAUAAUUAUUAAAGAAUUUCGGUUGUCGAUGGGGAUGCGUUCCAUUAGGCAGUUGGCGGGGUAACGGCCCACCAAACCUACGAUGGAUAGGGGUUCUGAGAGGAAGGUCCCCCACAUUGGAACUGAGACACGGUCCAAACUCCUACGGGAGGCAGCAGUGAGGAAUAUUGGUCAAUGGACGAGAGUCUGAACCAGCCAAGUAGCGUGAAGGAUGACUGCCCUAUGGUUGUAAACUUCUUUUAUACGGGAAUAAAGUGAGCCACGUGUGGCUUUUUGUAUGUACCGUAUGAAUAAGGAUCGGCUAACUCCGUGCCAGCAGCCGCGGUAAUACGGAGGAUCCGAGCGUUAUCCGGAUUUAUUGGGUUUAAAGGGAGCGUAGGCGGGUUGUUAAGUCAGUUGUGAAAGUUUGCGGCUCAACCGUAAAAUUGCAGUUGAUACUGGCGACCUUGAGUGCAACAGAGGUAGGCGGAAUUCGUGGUGUAGCGGUGAAAUGCUUAGAUAUCACGAAGAACUCCGAUUGCGAAGGCAGCUUACUGGAUUGUAACUGACGCUGAUGCUCGAAAGUGUGGGUAUCAAACAGGAUUAGAUACCCUGGUAGUCCACACAGUAAACGAUGAAUACUCGCUGUUGGCGAUAUACAGUCAGCGGCCAAGCGAAAGCAUUAAGUAUUCCACCUGGGGAGUACGCCGGCAACGGUGCAACUCAAAGGAAUUGACGGA
rnacentral:rRNA from 1 species